GAACUAGAAGAACUAGAGGGAUCCUCUCUACUUGGAUGAAGAAUUGAAACCCUAGCUUUGAUUCUGUAGAAGAGGUAUGAUCUCCAGGGGCCAGGGGGGUCUGGUUUUAUAGUCCCUUCAAGUGAAUCUGGGCCGUCGGAUCAAACCGACAUUGAUCGCACGGUUUUCCUUGAUCCUUUAGGUCGGUGGAGCUUGGUCCGCAAAGUUGGACGUGUUUGACCACAACUCCUGGGCGGGCGCCCAAGGGGGGUGGGCGGGCGCCCUGCCCCCGGGCCCGUUCGCCUUCCCGUUCGUUCCCGUGGCUUCUGGAGUCUUCUAGAUGACGUAAAAUUGCGCGGCACGUUAAUAUCUCUAUGUAAACCCGACAUGUGGGCCUUUCUUCCGUAUUUCCUGAUAACCCCCUGCAGAAAUAGACAAACACCAAAACUCGUGGAAUUCUGUCAGAUAAAACCCUAAGUCUAGGUGUUGGUUGCAUUUGGAUCCUUUUCUAUGAUUAGUUGAUGGUUAAUUGUGAGCAUUAAGGACCGUCAACAAGCUCCCCCAAGCUUAACCUUUGCUCGUCCCUGAGCAAAGAUAGACUUAAGAGUUUUCUGCAGUGGUUUCAUAACUUAAAGAUACACAUGCGUUUAAACAAGAUCUCAUCUCUGGUUAGAGUAAACUGUUAAGACUUAAAACUUACUCAUUUACCUUUCACCAUGGGACUUGUAACCGUCACUUCUGUCUUGAGUAGUUAAAAGAUAUAACAGUCUAGUCAAGCGCCAUGUCUCUUGUUCUUCGAUUAACUAUAGCUUUGGAGUUUUUGCAGAUUUUCAAAUAAAACUCAGAGAUUCCUUGUAUGACUCUCUCUAGUCUCUCUUUUGUGGUAUUUCUGGAUCCUUACCAAGGCAGUAAAGGUGUAUGCCUUCUCUCAAAGUAUGUGGUAUUUUUGGUAUGAGGCAUAGUGACAUUGCCUUCCUCUCACCCUACUCUAAUAAGGCUUUUGAUAUCUGGAGCUCAUAGGUGGGAGACAGCUAAUACAUACUUACAAGACAUUUAUUGCAUAGUCAAACCAUGGAUCCAGAAGAACAAGUCAAUAAGUCAAAUCAAGAUGUGCAUGUGUGGCGAAUGAAUGGUGUAUGGUGAUGAUGGUGAUAACAAUGGUGAAAGUCGAAUUCUACUUAUGCUCUUUUGAGGGGAUACAUACCUUUCUUGCUCUUUUGAAAGUUUUUGAGGAGAAUGAGAUGCUCUAUAUUUUCUUUUUUUUUCUCUCAGGUGGGUAUCUUGUACCCCUAAUUCUACUGUCGGACACUUGUCCAUUUUUACCUCUCGUCUCACUUUUUCUUUUCUUUUCUUUCGAGGUUCCGGGCACUUGCCCCUUUUUAUUUCCUCGUAUUUAUUUUUUUCUCUCUUUUUUUUCUUUUUUUAGAGCACUCAUCUCCUGAAAUAAUAUAGCAAGUGGUAGUAACCAAGAUAACUUGAGCAUUUAUUUCAAAGGGGAAAAAUAGAAAUAUUUUUGGCUAUUCUCUCCCGGAUUAGGAGUAGAAUAUUUUUGGGUGGCUCUAGAGAUGGAAAUAGAUGGAUAUAUGUAGAUGCGUACUUCCAGAGUAGAAGCAGCAUGUAUGAGUGAACGUGCAAGUGAAUCUUGAUUUUAACCACAUGACAAGCUCCUAAGGGUCUACACAGCUUGACCACACUCAAUGCUCAUAAGCAGUAAAAAGUAAAUAUGUGGCUCAAAGUCUAGCAAGCAUGUAUAUAUGGCUGUGGUAGGAAUUUAAACUCUCAUCAUACAGGAACUCAUCAUGCAACAUUUUAAAGAUUUUCAAAGAGAAAAUUCUCCAGAAUUCUAGCAUCUCUAGGAACAGAUAAACAGCAGCACAACCUUCCCAUAUCGUAUCCGUUAACGACUUAGACUUUAGAUCAAGCACUCUCCCCACAAGUUCAGGUUUAGAGCAAAUCUUAAUUAAUAUCAGUCAUGCCUAAACUUGAGAGAGAUUUCAAUUUUAAGAACUAGUCAUGGCAGAGCAACCAUUCAUCAUUUCCAUGUGAGAUCUUAUCAUGAGGGUUCAUAGCAAAUUUUAUUUAUUUAUUUAUUUAGGAAACUAAGCAAAGAUAUAUAUAAGUACAAAAUCUUUAUUUGGGUUUCUAUGAUUAUGUAUCUUUUUAUUAUUAGAGUAAAGUAUAAACGUGAGUAGAAUACUUAGCUGGAUAAAUGGGGGUGCUAUCCCCCAAGCUGGAUUUUGACGUAGUUUCUUCUAAUGUAGCUAGCAAGUGGUGGAGGUGUAUUUGAAUGUCAGCAGCACCCUGACAGCGAUUAGGAUGUCCUCCGUCUGCUAGUCUUCUUUGAUCCUUGAAUUCUGUGGAGCUCAAAUAGAUAACAAAGCUUUGUGGAACUAGUUAAGUGUUAGCAUAAAUAUCUAGCCUUUAUCAUGUUGAGUCUCCUCAAUAAAUGUUACUCUCUUUAGUAGGAUCAUAAUUUUAUUUUUAUAAUUUUAUUUUUAUAGGACAGAAAUAUAUUUAUUUUAUUUUUAUGCCACCACAGUGAAUGUACUUAUGGGUUUUAUGCCAUGAGCACACUCACAUGGGGCUUACUAUUUUUACAUUUUUAUUUUCUUUUCAAGAUGAUAUGAACCUGAUUAACUAAGCAAACUAUUUUAAAAUAAUUGAAAGGAAAAGAUAACUACCAAGUUUACCUCUUGGCAAGGCGUUCGAUGUUUUUAAGUCCUCCGAACGGGACUCUCCAUAUUCUCAGUCGUCCUGGGAUUCGCUGGAUGGCAUAGUCGGUGGUUCCGGCGGCGCUUCCUCUUUGUGUAUAACUAUCUUCUUUCUGCACACCUGACUCGGUGCUACGGUCUCCUCAGGACAGUUCUGUUCAAGCUGUAUGUCUUCAGACCUUACGACUUCUCCUUCAUAGUCUGCCCAUCCGUCCUUGAUGAUUUGCCUCCUCUGGUUGCAGUUGCGUUGUACUCUUCUUGCCCUGACCUGCUUAGAGUCUUCAACUAUAUAGUUAGGGUCAGUAAAACAACGGCGUACCUUCUCAGAGGGGAAGUGCAUGUGGACUUCUCUAGUUCCAAUGUAGAUGAUUGCUUUAACAGUGCUGAGGAACGGUCUUCCAAGGAUGAUGGGUGGAUCGUACUUGUCUUCUCCUAUGUCAAUAACCUUAAAAUCAUCUGGAGCUGAAUGUAUGUUGGUUGUAGGGGCAUGGUUCCAUACAAGAGCUGAUAAGUAACUGCGGCCAUUAUGUUGACGUCAGAUCCGGUGUCAUAGAGUGUCUUCUGAAAAGAAUAUCCGUUGAUUGUGCACUCGAUGCUUGGGACACCAGGGUCGUCCUUCUUGAUCAAGAAAGGUGACUUGAGUUGACGAUCUUGACCUCCUUGAGCUGCAGUGACCAUCUUAGCUGACUCGGUACACAUUUGCUUGUUCUUGUUCCUGCUGUUGGUCCUCUUCCUUGGUUCAUGUCGGGAUUGCUCUGAGAUUUGUGUAGUCUUAUUCUUGAAGGUAAACGUCUCCUUCCUUCCCUUGAUGUAGACACUGAUCUUGGCAGCACUAGCGUGGAUGACAGCUCCCGAGGUGUUCAGGAAUAGCCUCCCUAGGAUGAUGGAUGCCCUCUCAUCACUAUCAGUCUCUAUCACCACGAAGUCUGCUGGAGCAUAUAAGGUACCAACUCGGACGUAGAGGUUCUUCAAUAUUCCCUUUGGGAAACUUAUUGUCUGAUCUGCAAGCAUGCCGAUGGAGAUUGGGAUGACGGGGCGUCCUAGAUUGUCUCUCUUGACCGGCAGAAGGUCAGUAAUUACUUCCACAACGGGGUUACUCUAGUAGUUACAUCCUCAAGCAUCUCAGGGCAGUGAUUGCCUGAGUGUCCAGUAUCUCCAGUGUGUUUGUGCUCGUAGAUCUAGGUUUUUCACUUGGUGGAGUCUGGGAGUUGUAAAACACCUUCAUAUUUUGCUCAAAGUGUACCUGCUCAUAGAGACAAGGCAGAGAUCAAGUGCAUGGGCCCUGUUGGUGGUAAACACCAACAGAACCAAAAGUGUAUUUGUUCUUCUCUAUCCUUAAUCAUAGUGAGCAAGACAAAGUUGAUGGAUAAUAAGAUCAUGAGUGUAGCAUUUAAAACAUUUGUCAGAUCAGAUCACUCAACCUAAUGGAAAGAUAAUUUAUCUAUAUUUAUGUUGUUUUUUUAUAUAUCUUCCAAAGAUUGAGUGUGCAACAUUUUAGCUUAAAGGAUUAGGAGUAUGGGAUCACAAAGGUGGAAGGACUAAACAUGUUGAAUCGAUUAGGUUGGUUAAUCUAGAGUUGUAAAUCAUACAUGUUUGUCUCUUUUAUUCAUGUGAACGCCAGAAAUAAGGAGAAGCUUAUAACAGUGAUAGUUACAUACCUUAAGAUGUUACCUUAAUUGAAGAGUGAUGGUACAAUAUCACCUUGUGGAAGCUUUCCUUUCUUAGCGGUUGUGCAUCGUGUUUAUGGCACCCUCCAUGGAUCAUCUCUUGUGAGCUCUGCCUUCCUUGUGUAAAUUGUUAGACUUCAUGUGUCUCUCUCUUUGUCUCCAAUGUGAGUUUAUCUCAGGACUUCCCAGGUUGAUAUUGAAAGUUUUCCUGCAGGGGUUAGUCCAACAAAAUAUCCAAUAUCUACUAUAGCAUACUAUCGGCUCAAAGAUCAACCUAGACACCAUGUCUAAUUUGAUUUAGGAGGGCACUUUAACCUAAGCAUCAUGCUUAAUUUAAACUCCCUUGGAAGUAAGAUCAUCACUCCUAAACUAAGCACCAUGCUUAAUUAAGAGAUAAAUGAAACUACUCCAAACCUAAACAUAUACUAAAGCAAAUAAAGGUAGCAUGAGAGCAUUUAUAGAGAUCUACUUAAGUGGAGAUGAAGUAGUGUGAUUAGUAUUUAAGAAAUUGAGCAUGUCUCAAAGGUAGGGAUAACCAACAUAGCAACAUGGCAAAUGAUGUUUUUUAUGUAAAAUACUCCCCCAAGCUUGAAUUUUGUAAAAUUCAAGUUUGGAUGAAUUUAAUUCAAUGUUGUAUGAUGAUUGGUUGGACAUACCUUGUGCUUGUCAUUCAUCCGAUCUUCUUGCUCCAAUCCUGAAAAGGUUAGUGACAAGAAUACCCGAAGGAAUAUUUUUACAAUUAUCCUUAUAUGCUCAAUACACAAGGUAAUGUUGCAAAUAAUUAAAAGCUCAUGUUAUGAUCUAAUCAGUGCUUGUUUUAGGACACUAAGCUUGUCCUUGGGAAACCAUCAAUUUAUGUCGGCGAAGUGGUUUCCCCUCCAACGCUGACCUAUAUCAAGAUCAACUCAACGAGAUCUGCAAUAUUUGAUAUAGACAUAUGCAUCGACAACCGCCCUUUUAAUGUUUUUAUAAAUAGAAAGGAAGUGGGGGUUGGAGAUCUCGAAUGUGGUGAUGUUGGAGAGACCAAUGGAUUGUGAAGAUGUUGCAUAUGAGCAUGGAGUAAAUGAAGUGGCUAUGAAAUAAAUUCCAUGCUCAUUAAUGCUUAGAGUGAAAUCCAUGUGGUAUGGUGAAAAUGGUGAGUGUGGUAAAAAAAGGGAAAAGAAAAAGGAUACACGGGUGACUUGGUUCGAAACUAGCACAGCUACCGUUCCCCGGCAACGGCGCCAGAAAGCUUGUUGGGUAUUUUAAACGCAAACAGAAAAAUCCGCAAGCGCACGGAUACCGAUGUAGCUUUCACCCGGGAGUAUUCCAGAGUAUCGAUUUUCCACAGAGAACGUGAGUGUACUAAUUAAGAUCCAAGAUCGCCCAAGGAUAACUAUAUAAUUAUUUUUGGUGGGAAGAGAGGAAGUUUCCUGAGAGCUCUCUAGUUGAUCUAAGAAUCAAGAAUUACUUCAAGAUUAUCUAUAUCGGGACAUCAGAACACUAACCACAGAAAGAGAUGAGAAGGGGGCUAGGAAGCUCCGACUACGGUCCUACAAACACCGAUCCGAACGUGGUGGAAUACGUCGACUGUUAGGGCUGUCACUACCCUAAGGCUACCACAACAAUCCGCAGGAUUGGGUGCAAUUCCAGGUAAUUGCAAGACUAAACACCACGUCUAAUCUAUUAAUUACUACUCUAAUGUUUCAAAGAUUAGAGCACUUGAUGCAAGCGGGAAUCCAAUAAAUAACUUGAAUGUAAAUAAAAGUAAUUAGAGAACUCAGGAGUUAUGAGUUGAAGAACCUGGAGAACGAUUAAGAACGAACCAGAUGCUGCAAAAGUACAAUGUUGAGGAAGAUCCGACAGAUCCGGCUCCUCCUCCGCUCUCCUCUUCUCUCUCCCUAUUUUCUAGAUUACAACUAGAACUAACUAGAACUAGAACUAGAGGAACUAGAACAAGAACUAGAUGAACUAGAACUAGAUCUAGAUGAACUAGAGGUAGAACUAGAAGAACUAGAGGGAUCCUCUCUACUUGGAUGAAGAAUUGAAACCCUAGCUUUGAUUCUGUAGAAGAGGUAUGAUCUCCAGGGGCCAGGGGGGUCUGGUUUUAUAGUCCCUUCAAGUGAAUCAGGGUCGUCGGAUCAAACCGACAUUGAUCGCACGGUUUUCCUUGAUCCUUUAGGUCGGUGGAGCUUGGUCCGCAAAGUUGGACGUGUUUGACCACAACUCCUGGGCGGGCGCGCAAGGGGGGUGGGCGGGCGCCCUGCCCCCGGGCCCGUUCGCCUUCCCGUUCGUUCUCGUGGCUUCUGGAGUCUUCUAGAUGACGUAAAAUUGCGCGGCACGUUAAUAUCUCUAUGUAAACCCGACAUGUGGGCCUUUCUUCCGUAUUUCCUGAUAACCCCCUGCAGAAAUAGACAAACACCAAAACUCGUGGAAUUCUGUCAGAUAAAACCCUAAGUUUAGGUGUUGGUUGCAUUUGGAUCCUUUUCUAUGAUUAGUUGAUGGUUAAUUGUGAGCAUUAAGGACCGUCAACAGAUGCUCAUGAGUGAUCAUGAUGAUGCUUAUGUUGAUGGAAUGCUCAUGGUUAACAUGCAAGCUAACACUAGGAGUGUCACACAGGACGGUUCUUAAGUAUCAAUUUUAAUCAUAAAAUAAAUAAAGAAAAGGACCAUACAAACAACACCUAGAAUUAGGGUUUGAUCUGACAGAAUUCCAUGAGUUUUGUUGUUUAUCUAUUUCUAUAGGGGGGUAUCAAGAAAUAUGGAAGAAAGGCCCACACGUUGGGUUUACAUAGAGAUAUUAACUUGUGCGCCAAUUUUCCUUGGUCUAGAAGGUUCCAGAAGCCACACGAACGAGCGGGAGGCCGAGCGGGCCCACAGGCAGGGCGCCCACCUAUGGUGGCCAAUCAGGGUGCAUCACGCAGAUUAUGCUCCACCGCCUUUGAGGAUCAAGGAGAACCGUUCAAUCAAGGUCGGUUUGAUCCGACGGCCUAGAUUCAUUUGAGAGGGCUAUAUAAUCAAGGCCCCUGGCCCCUAGAGAAAUAGAAUCCCAUUUCUGGAUAACAUCUCAGGUGAAGUGCUCACUGAUAUCCGUGCGCUUGCGGAUUAAUUCCUGAUUGCGUUACCAAAUAUCAACAAGCAUUUCUGGCGCCGUUGCCGGAGAGAAAGACGGUUUGCUGAGAUAAACCUUGAGUCUUACUACUAGCUUGUAUUCAUACUUUUAUCUUUUCUUAUUUUUUUAUAUGUAUAUAUUCUUUAUUUUCCAUACUCUUACCUUAUGGAAAACCAAGAUUCUAAAUUGAUCUAUCAAUUUGCGACACCUUCAGAAACUGACCUUUUACCAUGGGAGUCAUCACAGCCUAUCCAAACAUCCCAGUAUAGGUUAAGUUCUAGGUUGAUUGCCAUGAUUCAAAACCUAGAGAUUUUGAGCAAACAUGUGAUUGUCUUCGCACUGAAGGCAUUUCUGAUAAAACUUUACGUUGGAAGCUUUUUCCUUUUUCUUUAAGGGGAGAAGCUAGACAAUGGUAUAGUCAAAAGGUAAGUCAACAACGAGGUGAAUGGGGAGUUUUACGAGCCAACUUUUGUCUAGAUUUUUAUUCCCUCGACCGUAUCGGCGACCUUAGACUCGAAGUCCUAUCUUUUAAACAAAAAGAUACUGAAACUUUGGGAAAAUCAUAGAAACGUUUUUCUGAUCAUUUAGAAUCUGGUCCAAAACUUAAUCUUGAAGACCCUGUUCUUUUAUUUCACUUUUUUCGAGGUCUUCAGAAAGAUCAUAAAUAAAUGCUACAUACAAUGUCUAGAGGUUCUUUCUUUCACAUCCCUACUGAUGAUGCUAGAGCGAUCCUAGAUAGAAUCCUAGAAGCUGAGAUGGAUAAUACCCUCCAUGAUGAAACCCACGAAGCCGAAGUAGACACUCUGCCCAAUUCUCCAUCUACUUUAGCUAACCCAGGUUCUGAGCCACAAAACGAAGGAACUCCACUACCUGAUUUCAUGUUGGAUAUAGAAUUUGAUCUUUUUGUCGAUUUUGGAAACAUUUCAAAUUACCAUUUUAUUGACAGACCCCAAAACGGCUAUUUUAGCAUUUGUUUGCCGAGCGAACAUCAAUUAAGAGAGCUUAUCUUAGUCAUGAGUAGCGAAUGGUUGGAGGAGUCAGAGCGUUCCUCUGAUAUGAUCCGUUUGGACACAUCUCCUAUAACUAUACGUUGUGCCUAUGAUUUUGAUCAAUUUGAUGCUCUCUAUAAUCAUGUUGUGGGGAUCAACAUUAUGUCUAAAGCUUUUGCGCUUAAAAUAUUUUAAAAUUUGGUCUUAACCCCCACAACAAAGGUCAUAAAGGAAUCUUUGGGACUAUUAGUCCCCAGUCUUGGAAUUAUUAAUAUCCUACCCCUUAUGGUAGAAGGCUCCAUGGUUCAUUUGAACUUCUAUAUCUUUGAUACAUGGGACUUCGACCUGUUGAUAGGACAACCUUUUAGAAGACUCCUUUAUGAAGGUCAAACUGGAAAGCUACACAUUUCUUUUGGAAAAGAUUUCAAAUUUCCAAUAACGAUUUCUCACUCCUUAAAUAGUAAGACCGAGUCAUAUCUUUUGCCCGAUCCUAUGGAGGAGGUAAAGGCUGCAUCUCUAGAGCUUUUAGAUGAACCAGACUUAGAAGAAGAAGCUCCUUUCUUCACAGAAGAAGAGGCCGAACCUUCUGAAUCUGAACCCUUAGACGAGUUUGCAAAAACACCUAGACCUCCCAUAGAGCUUAAAACUUUACCACCCGGUCUGAGCUAUGCUUUCCUAAGCAAUAAUCCAGAGUUUCCUAUGAUCAUUAGUGAUCAACUCACUCAGGAGCAAACUCUAGGAUUGAUGACCAUUCUUGAGAAACAUCACUCAGUUUGCGGCUACUCACUCCAAGAUCUUAUAGGAAUCCGUCCUAUGAUUUGUACCCAUCGUAUUCCGACAGAUCCUUCUGUUUCACCCUCUCGAGAGCCCCAACGUAGACUUAACAACGCGAUGAGAAAGGUAGUUAAAAUGGAUGUUAUAAAGUUGCUGCAUGCAGAGAUUAUAUAUCCUAUUCCACAUAGUGAGUGGGUGAGCCCUGUUCAAGUUGUGCCUAAAAAGGGAGGCAUGACUGUCGUUACGAAUGAAAAGAAUGAGCUAAUUCCGCAAUGCACCGUCACAGGGUGACGGAUGUGCAUAUACUAUAGAAAACUGAACAAAGCCACGAAAAAGGAUCAUUUUCCUUUACCGUUCAUAGAUGAGAUGCUAGAGCGACUAGCGAACCAUUCAUUCUUCUGUUUCUUAGAUGGAUAUUCAGGGUAUCACCAGAUCCCGAUCCAUCCCGAUGAUCAAAGCAAAACCACUUUUACAUGCCCAUACGGAACUUAUACUUACCGUAGAAUGUCUUUUGGGUUAUGUAAUGCACCAGCUUCUUUUCAAAGAUGUAUGAUUUCUAUAUUUUCUGAUAUGAUUGAAGAGAUUAUGGAAGUUUUUGUUGACACUUACUAACACCACUUGGAUACUAGGUUGUCAUCCCCAGCAUGGUGCCAGAGUGUACAAAGGUAUUUAUGAAUGUAAAGGCUCUCUAGAGAAUAAUCUAUUCUAUCCGCAAGCGCACAGAUAAAAUACCUCAUUGUAGCAUUUCACCAGGAAAAGUAUUCUAGGUAUCGUUAUUUAUAAUUUUGCUUAAGAGAACGGUGGAGAUAAAUAAAAUCUAUCAAGGCAUAGACUAGAGAUAAACUUUCAAGAAUAUGAUUACUAAUGAGGAACUCAUCACACAGUCACUUAUUUUGGCAGGGGGGUAAGCCAUAAUAAUAAUGAUCAUGAAAUAUAAGCUCAUGGGUAAAUAACACAGCCAUUAGAAAAUAGUCUACUCCUCAUAUAUGUAAGGUGACGUCGGAUUAGCUAGAGAAUGGAUUCUAAGUUAUCUACUAUCUACUAAGUCACAAUCUACUCUAAUUAUCUACAAUAUCAUAUAUAGCAUAAAAGACUCUUCAUUCAUGUAUAAGUAACAUUGCUAAAGUAAAUCAGAGCAUCGCAAGACUUACACUGUAAUACAAAUUCUACCUGUCCUAUCAACGGAGGGUGGACUAUAUAAGAAUCAACGAAGCUGUCACUAUCGUGAACUACCACACGGCUUGGCCAAUAGGAUACAUUUGCAGGUAAAUAACAUCUAAGCACCACGCCUACAUGUGAUCUACCACUUAACUCCCACGUGUUAAGAGCUAAGCGCUUUGCAAACUUAUACAUAAACUCAUUAUCAAUCAUAACUAUAUCAAAUAUAGAACUAGAGCAAACAAAGGGCAUAAUAAAUAGAGACAUAAUGCAAUUAGAAUAAAGUAGUAGAGAAAGUUAUGAAAUAAUACCAAUCUUUAUUAACGAAGAUCCGAAUCCAGAGCGCUAGGCUCUACUUCUCUAAUUCUAUCUAAUCAAUCCUCUAAACUUGAAGGAUUAGGGAGUACCUAAUUCUAAUUCUCUGUGGGAGAGAAGAUCUAAAACCCUAACUUUGAUGGCUUCCUCUGAUAAUGAUUUCUCCUCUCUCCCCCUGGGGUGGAGAGGCCUUGCUUAUAUAGUCCCAUCAAGUGAAUUUGGGCCGUCGGAUCAAACCAACAUUGAUCGCACGGUUUUCCUUGAUCCUUUAGGUCGGUGGAGCAUAAUCCGCGAGAUUGGUUGUGAUGGGCCCCGAGGCUAGGGCGGGCGCCCAAGGGGGGAGGGCGGGCGCCCUGCCCCCGAGCCCGUCCGAUCUCCCGUUCGUUCCCGUGGCUUCUGGACUCUUCUAGAUCAAGGAAAAUUGCGCGGCACGUAAUUAUCUCGUUGUAAACAUGACAUGUGGGCCUUCUCUCCAUAUUUUCUGAUAACCCCCUGCAGAAAUAGACAAACACCAAAGCUCGUGGAAUUCUGUCAGGUAAAACCCUAAUUCUAGAUGUUUGGUGCAUAUUGAUCCUUUUCCGUGUUUAGUUGAUGAUUAAAUUUAGUACUUAAGGACCGUCAACAAACUCCCCCAAGCUUACCCUUUGCUCGUCUCUGAGCAAACAGCUAAACUCAGAUGGAUCAGGAGUUGCUUCGAUGUUUUCUUUCCUGACAGGCACACAUGCUUUCACAUAAAAAUUCUUCGAGAUUAGAGUGAAGUGUCAUGGAGCUUAGUACCUGCACUUAAGUCUUAAGAAAUCGGAAGACAAAAAUAGUUAAGUCAAGCACUAUUCCUCCUGUCUAUACUUCACCUUUGUUCUGGAGUUUUGCAUAGGUUUUCAAAAAUAAGGCUCAGAGUUCCCAGCUAUGAUUCUCUCAAGUCUCUCUAUAUGUGGUAUUUGUGGAUCCUUACAAAGAUGUCACCUUCCUACAGCUAAUGGAAUAUUUAAGUGGAGCUCAUAGGUGUGAAAAACAUCUCAUACAUAUGUUGUCUAAUUGAGCCAUGGAUCCAAAGGAACUCAGCAUAUAAUUAAAUUAAGAUGUGCAUGUGUGGUGGAGUAAAUGAUAGUAAUGGUGGAAAUGUAUAAGUGAUGAUAAAACUUACUUCUCAUUGCUCCUCAUAUUGCUAUCUCUCCUCCUCUCUUGAUCUUUGCCUUGGGAGAACAUGGGCUAUCUCUCUUUCUUUUUUUUCAGGUGGGUAGUAAAUACCCCUAAUUUUACUGUCGAACACUUGUCCAUUUUUUCCGCUCAGGUGGGCAUCUUUGUACCCCUAAUUCUACUCCGGACACUUGUCCAUUUUUACCUCUCAUCUCACUCUUUUUUUCGAGGUUUCGGGCACUUGCCCCUUUUUAUUUCCUCGCAUAUUUUUGCAUAACCCAUGUCUCUUCUGCAUUGAAUCUUUUUGGAGAGAGAGAAUAACAACACUUGGGACAGUGAGUGAUAAUAUUUUUAGCAGAUUUUAAUGAAUGGUGGUGGAUGGUGUAGUAGAUGUGUGCCAGUGAAUAUCUUAAUUUAACCACAUGAAAAGUCCUAAGGGUCGACACAGCUCGAUCAAACUUAAUGUGAAUAUAAGUAAAGAUGUUAUAGCAAGUAUGGCUGUGGUAGGAAUUUUUUCAUGCUAGGAACUCAUCAUGUGAUUUGCAAGUUUUCAAAAUAAAUCUCGAGAACACAGUGUAGUAGGAACAAGAUAAACAACAGCUCAAACUUUAUAUCAUGUCCUUCUCUUACCUAGACUUUAGCUUUAGGUUCAUGCUUCCCAUAGAUAUUAAAUUUUAGUUUUUUAGUAAUUCCUAGAAGAACUCUAAUAUAAAAGCUAGGUACUCGAAAGUAAGUAAACAGAGCAACUGUUCAUCAUUUCCAUCAAGCAUCUUUUUGGUCUUUUUUAUUUUUCUAGAGAUUAACACUUGGCAGAUAAAUAAGCACACUUAUCUACACACUCUUUUUAUUUUGUUUUCAUAUUUAUAGAAUGCAGUAAAUUAAAGCAAGAAAAUAUUUAUUAGGUUUUCUAAGUUUUUCUCUUUAAAAUAAAACACUAAAACAGAAAAGAAUAAAUAAGAAGGGCAAACAAAAACUUACUUGAUAAAAUGGGGAGGAACUCCCCCAAGCUGGAUGUGGUUGUCGGUCUUAGCCAAUGUUCCAAAAUCGCAUCAUGGUGGUGAUGUUGUCGUUCAUUGUCGUGGUGUCUUGUCUCAGUUCUUGUACUGCAGUGGCGUGGUCCUGGUUCCACUUUUGUUGUUGUUCCAGGAGUCGUCCAUGUUCUGCUUGCGUAUUUUGGAUGUCGAGGAGGGUGUUGUCGGUACGGGUGAAAAAGGCGCCGGCCUCUUGGUAGUAGUCGUUCGUGAAAGCAUAAGAGGUGUCGGAGUACCGUCCUACAUCGAAUUGGGGCGGGGGUCUAGACCCUAAAGCUCCAUAAGGAUCAGUGGAGUGCCUACCCAUAUGGAAAGGUGGGUUUGUGCACUGGUGAUCUUGGCCCUCCACAUGUCUCCUGUGUUGGCUCUUGUGGUUGAGCAUGUCGAACCCAUGGGUCCCGAAGGACUCGGGGGUUGUAGUUGCAAUAAUGCAGGUGCGCUGCUUCUUCUGGCCCGGGAUCAGCUCCAUACCAGGUGCGUUCUUGAUUGGUGGUCAUCCUUUCAGAUGCCACUCGUUGUGGAGCUCUCUGGUUUACCGAUGUCACUGCAAUCUUAAUCAAAUAAUUUUGAACAACAUAGAGGCCAAGGUUCGGGUUAGGUAACUGAAUCUUGUCUUUAUUAUCGUAUAACAUAUACAUUACGUUCCCCUCUUUUUUCAAUAUCCGAGCUUGCCUAAAUGUGUCAUAGCCAUGAUAAAUUCGUAACUCAUCAAUGAAUUCCAAUGACGAGUUUUCUAGCAAAUUAAGAUUAGAGGCUAGACGAGUGAUGAGUGAAGUACAACCGACAGGUACCUGAAGACUAGGUAUACUAAGCCAAUGAGAAACCAAAAGUGUAACAGGUGAAGUGGGUACUUUAUUUAUAGCAGCAUAUAGAAGUUGUAAAUCUCCUAUUCUUACUUUUCUAAUAUCAUCACGAUGGAAAAGAUUGUACCCGAGCCAUUUGUGGAACAUCCUAAGAGUGGGGUGUUCCAUGUCGCUGGUUCGGGCUUGGCUAUAAAACUCAUCUCUAGAUAUCUCUCUCCAGAACUGGUGUCUCUCAAAAUAGGGUAAGUCGGAGUCAAUGUCCAAGAUGCAUCUUGAAGAGAAAUCGAGAUGGUCGCUCAUAUCUCUCCAAGACAUCAUAAUAUCCUGUUUGAACAUCCGAAAAACAAUUCCCCCCUCAUAAUAUUGUAAAGUGCAAAGAAAUUCAAGGGUGAGAAGACGGGAACCCAGCUCAGUUAUGUUCCAAAAAUUUGUCCAUCCCACCAUCUGGAAAAUUAAGUCAAAUUCAGUAUCCAUACCUGUUUCUUGUAGCAAGAUAGGAUCAAGAGUGGGGGUGUGAAUGAAAUCCUUGUUCUUUAGCUACUGGUAAACUUCCUUUUCCCUGUGGGUCUUUAGUCCAAGGUCUCCUAUUUUGAGGAGGACCUUGACUUGUGGAUCAGAUGAAGAUGAUGGAGCUUGCGGGGGUGUCGGGUCGACGCUCAUCUCUGACUGGUGCGAGGAGUGUCGAGAUGAACUCCUUGUACCUAUGUUCUUGAGGACCUUCCCUACGUUCUUCACCUUCUUGAACAUCCUGUAGACAAAAGUUGAUACACACACAACUAGUGGAAAAUGUGAGAGAGAGAAAUGUUAGUGGUGAGCUGUCUGAAAUGUCAGUAGUCCAGGGGUUAGUCAUUCAAGACAAGUUUUUUAUUUUGGCAGCACCUCCCCCUAAACAACUUUUACUUCCGCUCUGGACAGUGGGAUCACUACUUACUAGGUGAACCUCACUCUCUCACUCAGAGACUACCAACCUCUCUUCCACUCUUCUCUUCCUCUCUACUCUCCUUCUUUCUUCACUACAAGAGCUCCUUCUCUGGAAACUGAAACUUGCGUAGUUUUCUAGGAGGCUUAUGUGAUGGAGAUGGAGGCAGGAGGUGGCAAUUUAUAGGAGGAAGGGGGAACAGGGCAGGCGCCCUCUGUAGGUGGGCGGGCGCCCACCUUUGGUGCCCAUCCUAGCUGCAACUUUUCUAUUCCCUCCUUUGCUUAAUCUUUAAGCCAAAAAAUAAUUCAUGGGUAGUUUUUGGUCGGUGGAAAAGUGCUGGUGAGUGGAGAUAUGUUGGU
rnacentral:lncRNA from 1 species